UCCAAUGGAAUCAGAUGGCUUUUAGUUUA
rnacentral:piRNA from 1 species